rnacentral:rRNA from 1 species
GAUGAACGCUGGCGGCGUGCCUAAUACAUGCAAGUAGAACGCUGAAGGAAGGAGCUUGCUCUUUCCGGAUGAGUUGCGAACGGGUGAGUAACGCGUAGGUAACCUGCCUGGUAGCGGGGGAUAACUAUUGGAAACGAUAGCUAAUACCGCAUAACAGUAGAUGUUGCAUGACAACUAUUUGAAAGGGGCAAUUGCUCCACUACCAGAUGGACCUGCGUUGUAUUAGCUAGUUGGUGAGGUAACGGCUCACCAAGGCGACGAUACAUAGCCGACCUGAGAGGGUGAUCGGCCACACUGGGACUGAGACACGGCCCAGACUCCUACGGGAGGCAGCAGUAGGGAAUCUUCGGCAAUGGACGGAAGUCUGACCGAGCAACGCCGCGUGAGUGAAGAAGGGUUUCGGAUCGUAAAGCUCUGUUGUAAGAGAAGAACGAGUGUGAGAGUGGAAAGUUCACACUGUGACGGUAUCUUACCAGAAAGGGACGGCUAACUACGUG